ACGUCCCAGACUCCGUAAACGGUGAGGCAGCUAGGUGUGGGCAAUAUUGCACGUUGUCCGUGCCGACAGCCUGAUGCAUUAAGUGACGCCGCGUGAGGGAGUGACGGCCUUCAGGGUUGUAAACCUCUUUCAGCAGGGAAUUGACGGGGGCCCGCACAAGUGGCGGUAGCAUGUGGCUUAAUUCGACGCAAGCGCCGAAGCUAACCUUACCAAGUGCUUGACAUGCACGCGGUAAUACGUCUGGCGACAGGCGCCCCCUUGUCCGGAAUUAUUGGGUGUACAGAGCUGGUAGGCAUGGCUGUCGUCACGCUCGUGUUGUGAGAUGCCUUGGGCUUAAGUCCCGCAACGGGUCUGCAACCGUUGAUCCCGUGUUGCCAGGCUAGAGCCCUUGUGGUAGCUGGGAGACUCACGGGAGAUUCCUGGUGUAGCGGUGAACUGCGGAGGAUAGGUCAGGAGGAACGACCGGUGGCGAAGUCGGAUCAUGCUCCCUUAUGUCUUGGGCUGCACACGUGCUACAAUGGCCGGUACAAUGAGCUGCGAUACCGCGAGGUGGAGCGAAUCUCAAAAAGCCGGUCUCAGUUCGGAUUGGGGUCUGCAACUCGACCCCAUGAAGUCGGAGUCGCUAGUAAUCGCAGAUCAGCAUUGCUGCGGUGAAUACGUUCCCGGGCCUUGUACACACCGCCCGUCACGUCACGAAAGUCGGUAACACCCGAAGCCGGUGGUCAGAGCCCCUUGUGGGUAGGGAGCUGAAUGGAUAGGCGGACACUUGGCGCCGCGGUC
rnacentral:rRNA from 1 species